AGUGAACGCUGGCGGUAGGCCUAACACAUGCAAGUCGAACGGCAGCACAGUAAGAGCUUGCUCUUACGGGUGGCGAGUGGCGGACGGGUGAGGAAUACAUCGGAAUCUACUUUUUCGUGGGGGAUAACGUAGGGAAACUUACGCUAAUACCGCAUACGACCUACGGGUGAAAGCAGGGGAUCUUCGCACCUUGCGCGAUUGAAUGAGCCGAUGUCGGAUUAGCUAGUUGGCGGGGUAAAGGCCCACCAAGGCGACGAUCCGUAGCUGGUCUGAGAGGAUGAUCACCCACACUGGAACUGAGACACGGUCCAGACUCCUACGGGAGGCAGCAGUGGGGAAUAUUGGGCAAUGGGCGCAAGCCUGAUCCAGCCAUACCGCGUGGGUGAAGAAGGCCUUCGGGUUGUAAAGCCCUUUUGUUGGGAAAGAAAAGCAGCAGGUUAAUACCCCGCUGUUCUGACGGUACCCAAAGAAUAAGCACCGGCUAACUUCGUG
rnacentral:rRNA from 1 species